rnacentral:rRNA from 1 species
CCUACGGGAGGCAGCAGUGGGGAAUAUUGGACAAUGGGCGCAAGCCUGAUCCAGCAAUGCCGCGUGAGUGAUGAAGGCCUUAGGGUCGUAAAGCUCUUUUACCAGGGAUGAUAAUGACAGUACCUGGAGAAUAAGCUCCGGCUAACUCCGUGCCAGCAGCCGCGGUAAUACGGAGGGAGCUAGCGUUGUUCGGAAUUACUGGGCGUAAAGCGUACGUAGGCGGUUAUUCAAGUCAGAGGUGAAAGCCCGGGGCUCAACCCCGGAACGGCCUUUGAAACUAGGUAGCUAGAAUCUUGGAGAGGUCAGUGGAAUUCCGAGUGUAGAGGUGAAAUUCGUAGAUAUUCGGAAGAACACCAGUGGCGAAGGCGACUGACUGGACAAGUAUUGACGCUGAGGUACGAAAGCGUGGGGAGCAAACAGGAUUAGAUACCCUGGUAGUCCACGCCGUAAACGAUGAUAACUAGCUGUCCGGGCACUUGGUGCCUGGGUGGCGCAGCUAACGCAUUAAGUUAUCCGCCUGGGGAGUACGGUCGCAAGAUUAAAACUCAAAGGAAUUGACGG